rnacentral:rRNA from 1 species
AUUGAACGCUGGCGGCAGGCUUAACACAUGCAAGUCGAGCGGAGACUUCGGUCUUAGCGGCGAACGGGUGAGUAAUACCUAGGAAUCUGCCUAUUAGUGGGGGAUAACGAAUCGAAAGGUUCGCUAAUACCGCAUACGUCCUACGGGAGAAAGGGGGGGAGUCUUUGGUACCUCUCGCUAAUAGAUGAGCCUAGGCCGGAUUAGCUAGUUGGUAGGGUAAAGGACCUACCAAGGCGACGAUCUGUAGCUGGUCUGAGAGGAUGGCCAGCCACACUGGAACUGAGACACGGUCCAGACUCCUACGGGAGGCAGCAGUGGGGAAUAUUGGACGAAUGGGGGCGAACCCUGAUCCAGCCAUGCCGCGUGUGUGAAGAAGGCC